UACGAAGGUGGCAAGCGUUGUUCGGAUUUACUGGGCGUACAGGGAGCGUAGGCGGUUGGAUAAGCCCUCCGUGAAAUCUCCAGGCUUAACCUGGAAAGUGCAGAGGGGACUGUUCAGCUAGAGGAUGGGAGAGGAGCGCGGAAUUCCCGGGUGUAGCGGUGAAAUGCGUAGAGAUCGGGAGGAAGGCCGGUGGCGAAGGCGGCGCUCUGGAACAUUUCUGACGCUGAGGCUCGAAAGCGUGGGGAGCAAAC
rnacentral:rRNA from 1 species